rnacentral:lncRNA from 1 species
CAACUAAGUUUUAAUUGAACCCAAGUUGAAACCCUAAUGGACUUUAAUUAAAUCCUAAGAAAAUCAUAAAUCCUAAAUAAAAUCCUAAAUCAAGUCCAAGACAAACUCUAAACCUUAAACCAAACCUAAAUCAAAUUAUAGAUCCUAAAUCAAAUCCUAAAUCAAAUCCUAAAUCAAACCUUAGAUAAAUCCUAAAUCCUAAAUCAAAUCUUAAAUCAAAUCCUAAAUCAAACCCUAGACAAAUCCUAAAUUCUAAAUAAAAUCCUAGAUAAAUCCUAAACCAUAAACCAAAUCCUAGAUAAAUUAUCAACCAUAAAUCAAAUCCUAAAAAAAUCCUAAAUUUUAAACUAAAUCCUAAA